rnacentral:tRNA from 1 species
CACUGAGAAGCUUUAUACAGCAUCAGCCUUUUAAGUUGAAGAAGAAAUAGUAUUUCCUCAGUGA